ensembl:snRNA U1 U1 spliceosomal RNA
UUACAUACUUAUAGGGGAGAUAUCAUGAUCACGAAGGUAGUUUGUUUUCCCAGGUGAGAUUUAUUCACUGCACUGCAAAUGUGCUGACCCCUGCAAUUUCCCCAAAUGUGUGAAACUCAACUGCAUAAUUUGUGGCAUCUGGGAACUAUUUUUCUGU